UGCAGACGGAGAUGGAGAUGCGAGUGGAGGUUUAUUUACAGUGAAAAUAACAGAAGUGAGGGCAGGACUGAACAUAAACCUAAACUGGGUGAAACUAACAAACAAACCUGGACAUAAGGUCAGCAGGAGAAACUCAGAGAUGGCAGAUGAGGACGGCAGAACAGGGAGACGGAGAGAAACAUAGGGAAUGAACACAGACGACGCGACGAGGAGCACAGGCAGACACGCAGUAUAAAUACACACAUCAGGUAAUCAGGAAAUGGCACACAGGAGGGGACACAGCUGGAACUAAUGGACAUAACGAGACACAAACCUACAAAGUAAAACAGGAAACUCACAGACUGUUUUACACAACCAACAGGGGACACGAAAAGGAGAGGCACAGAUUCUGAGGGGUCGCUUCUCUGGGUUUCACUGGCUGUCUAUCUGCUGUCCUCUUUAACUCCAUCAGCCCUCUGAAAGCUGCUCUGCUCCACCCAAAAACUAGUCCCGUUACCAUAACUGGUCCGCUGAUCCAGUCCAUUUGUGGUUUCACUUCAGCCAACCUCUCUCGUGCAACAGAAACUACACACCAUCUGUCAAGCCAGUCUGGAUCAAAACAACUGGGAACAGGUCGGUCUUUAGUGAAUGCCAUCGGGAGUGACUCAGCUCUCAUCAGAGGUGUGAUAGCCAUGGUGAUCUUUGUGACUGUGUCUACGUUAGCCAUAAUGGCCCGAUUCCUCUACAGGAGGAAAUGCACAUGUCAGCACCAGGAAGUAAAAACAGUGAAACCUAAAGACAAUCCAGAGUUGCCAUUAAGAAUAAGUUUUAUAAGUAUUGCUUUUUUUUCCAACUGUGGUCCCCAAUUGGGCUUUUGUAUACACAGUACACAGAGCAGAUUUACAGUGUUUAAUUACCUAAAGCCAGAAUACACCAUAUAUACAAGACCAUCAUGAUACCAAUCAUCUCUGAUUGGGGUUUUAGGUUUUGUCAAGUCAAGUAGUAAUCUCCUCAGACACGCUUGGGAAGUACUUAAACUGUAAAAACCGGUACAGUGUAUAUACAGUCUGGAUUAUUUACAGCCAUCUGUAAUCUGUAAAUCUGAUGGGAGUUUAGCAAUAUAAACUCACUUCUGUAAAAAAAAAACCCCACACAUCAUCAUAAAUAGCAUCAUCGUUGACUUUGUGUUUGUGUUCCUGCACUGCAAGAAUCUGCUGUUGACAGACUCGAGAUCCUGCUGUGACCCGUGUCAGCUGAUCAGCGCAGAUCUCCUGUGCUUGCACACCAACAGUGAAGUCAUCGGGGUCAGCAGCACGCAGGCCACAGGCAGGACUGCUCAGGCGAGACAAAUUUUGUGUAUGAUGAUUUUGUGGCUGAAGAAGUCAACGGGGACACAUUGAGACGGGGACCACGAGAAUCAUAGGAACAGCUGCUGCUUCUUUUUCUUUUUUAAGCCUCCACCGCACUAGUGACCACAGCAGGGUUAUCAGUCCUUCCUCGCUUUUUUUAACUUCUAUGGCUUUUUAUGAAUUGUGUGAUUGCAGCACCCGUGGGACAAAUCGCACACCGGCUCCCACUGAUGUCCAUUCUUCACAUUAGAUGCUGACAGCCACAACGCCACCAUGUGGCCACUUAGCGCAUGCAAAAUUAUGUAGUGGUUACAACCUGCAGAUCAAAACAGCAUCAUAACUACACACCAUUUAAUAUUUUUGCAUGCGUCAUUUGUGAACUACUAGUUUAUCAUUAAUCUUUUUUUUUUCUUGCACAAUGCUCAGUCUUUUGGCACAACCCACUGUCAUUGUUACACUUUCUAUUGCAAUGUUGUGUCUUCACUGUCUUGUGUCUCUAUUGAUUUGCUCUGUCUGGUGUUGCACUGUUUUUGUUUUGGGUUUUUUUUUUUUUUUUGCAAUUUUUGCACACUUGCACUUUAUGUAGUCCUGUGUUACUGACAUAUGUUAUAUGUAGCACCAUGGUCUUGGAGGAGCAUUGUCUCGCUUCACUGUGUACUGUACUGCACAUAGUUGAAAUGACA